AGUAGGUGCUGCCUUUCUAAGUUAGCAACUGCGUCAAAAGUGCGUUCUCUUUGGACAGUUUGGACACCUGUGAGGACAAACCGGGACUGUCCGUAAAGUUACGACUGUCCAGGAGUAUGCCAGUGGAGGAAUUUGUUCAACGAUGCUGACCCUUUGAAGCUGGAAGUCAAAUGGGAGAAGCUAGGGGUCAGGGGAGGGGUCGUGCUUGACUUGAGGCUUGUGCGGGCCCGACUGGUGCUGUUGCCGUACCAA